UACGUAGGGGGCAAGCGUUGUCCGGAAUCAUUGGGCGUAAAGAGCGUGUAGGCGGCCCGGUAAGUCCGAUGUGAAAGUCCAGGGCUCAACCCUGGGAUGCCGGUGGAUACUGUCGGGCUCGAGUCCGGAAGAGGAGUGUGGAAUUCCUGGUGUAGCGGUGAAAUGCGCAGAUAUCAGGAGGAACACCAAUGGCGAAGGCAGCACUCUGGGACGUGACUGACGCUGAGACGCGAAAGCGUGGGGAGCAAACAGG
rnacentral:rRNA from 1 species